UGGGGAAUAUUGCACAAUGGGCGCAAGCCUGAUGCAGCCAUGCCGCGUGUAUGAAGAAGGCCUUCGGGUUGUAAAGUACUUUCAGCGGGGAGGAAGGGAGUAAAGUUAAUACCUUUGCUCAUUGACGUUACCCGCAGAAGAAGCACCGGCUAACUCCGUGCCAGCAGCCGCGGUAAUACGGAGGGUGCAAGCGUUAAUCGGAAUUACUGGGCGUAAAGCGCACGCAGGCGGUUGAUUGAGUCAGAUGUGAAAUCCCCGGGCUUAACCCGGGAAUUGCAUCUGAUACUGGUCAGCUAGAGUCUUGUAGAGGGGGGUAGAAUUCCAUGUGUAGCGGUGAAAUGCGUAGAGAUGUGGAGGAAUACCGGUGGCGAAGGCGGCCCCCUGGACAAAGACUGACGCUCAGGUGCGAAAGCGUGGGGAGCAAACAGG
rnacentral:rRNA from 1 species